GACGAACGCUGGCGGCGUGCUUAACACAUGCAAGUCGAACGGUAAGGCCCUUCGGGGUACACGAGUGGCGAACGGGUGAGUAACACGUAGGUGAUCUGCCCUGCACUUCGGGAUAAGCCUGGGAAACUGGGUCUAAUACCGGAUAGGACACCUGCCUGCAUGGGAGGUGGCGGCAAGCAUUUGCGGUGUGGGGUGGGCCCGCGGCCUAUCAGCUUGUUGGUGGGGUGAUGGCCUACCAAGGCGACGACGGGUAGCCGGCCUGAGAGGGUGACCGGCCACACUGGGACUGAGAUACGGCCCAGACUCCUACGGGAGGCAGCAGUGGGGAAUAUUGCACAAUGGGCGCAAGCCUGAUGCAGCGACGCCGCGUGAGGGAUGACGGCCUUCGGGUUGUAAACCUCUUUCAGCACCGACGAAGCGCAAGUGACGGUAGGUGCAGAAGAAGGACCGGCCAACUACGUGCCAGCCGCCGCCGUAA
rnacentral:rRNA from 1 species